AGCGUUGCUCGGAAUUACUGGGCGUAAAGGGCGCGUAGGCGGUUGGAUAAGUCAGCUGUGAAAACCACGGGCUUAACUCGUGGCCUGCAGUUGAGACUGUCUGGCUUGAGUGUGGGAGAGGAGAGUGGAAUUCCUGGUGUAGCGGUGAAAUGCGUAGAUAUCAGGAGGAACACCGGUGGCGAAGGCGGCUCUCUGGACCACAACUGACGCUGAGGCGCGAAAGCUAGGGGAGCAAACAGG
rnacentral:rRNA from 1 species